GGGGGACCUUCGGGCCUCUCGCGUCAGGAUAUGCCUAGGUGGGAUUAGCUAGUUGGUGAGGUAAGGGCUCACCAAGGCGACGAUCCCUAGCUGGUCUGAGAGGAUGAUCAGCCACACUGGAACUGAGACACGGUCCAGACUCCUACGGGAGGCAGCAGUGGGGAAUAUUGCACAAUGGGCGCAAGCCUGAUGCAGCCAUGCCGCGUGUGUGAAGAAGGCCUUCGGGUUGUAAAGCACUUUCAGUCGUGAGGAAGGUAGUGU
rnacentral:rRNA from 1 species